ACCGCCCCCCGUGAGGUGUGACUACCUGCAAAUUUACCCCAAGUUUUUAACACAAGCG
rnacentral:rRNA from 1 species